rnacentral:snoRNA from 1 species
AAGAUGGAAGAUGAGGAGCUCUGACCUACAUCUUGACUAGGUUAGAUGAAACCCUUUGAUCCCGUCGUGUCUAUCAUGGUAGGGCGCACCGAACCAGUCUCCAUGGGCGAGCUGUUCACGCAGCUGGUAAGCUUCGAGC